rnacentral:lncRNA from 1 species
UGUAUUUUAUGCAUCGGUAAUAUGUGUGGAUGUGUUAAAAAUGUGUUACCAGUGAUAUUUGUAUUUGGUAAGGGUUUUUAAUAUUUAUGUACCAUGUAUUAAUUAUUAUAUAUUUUGAUUUGAAAACAAAUAAAUUAUUUAACUACUUUUAUUCACUUAAUUGAUUUUUGUGUACAUUAAAAAUAUUAUUAUAUAAGAUGUUUUUGGAAAC